AAAUAAUGACGAUCAUCUUUGGGGUUUUUUUACCAUUAAUUUUACAGAAGGCACCAAUCUAUUUUAGCUGCCCAUUGAAAAAGGGAAACCAAGGAAAAGGAAGAUUGAUUUGAGAAUGGAACAAAGAGGGAAGAAGCUGGAGAUAAAAGAAAAGAAGGAAAAUUAGAGAAAAGCAGAGAAGUGAAAAGAUCUUAGCAUCAUGAUAGUACAGUCACUGUUGUUAUAUAGAGAGGACCUAGUCCUAUGCCAUAGACAAAUGAAGACUUGAAAAAAGAUUUGAAAAAAAGAAAUGUUUAAACAAGAGAGUACAAAGCCGAGUUACAGAUCAAGCUUCAGGAUAAUUUGAUAACAUUAUAG